CAGUAUUCUGACUGUGCUAAGGUAGCAUAAUCAUUAGUCUUUUAAUUGAAGGCUGGUAUGAAUGACGAGACGAGAAAAUAGCUGUCUCUAAAAUAAAUCUUGAAUUUUAUUUCUAAGUGAAAAAGCUUAGAUAAUUUUAAAGGACGAUCAGACCCUUUGGAGCUUUAUUUAUUUUAAAUUUUAAUUUAUUUUAGAUUAUUGAAUGAAUAAUAAAUUUUGUUGGGGCGACAGAGAGUAAUAAAUACCACUCUUUUUUUUAAACAAUUAUAAUUGAAAAAUUGAUCCUUAAAGUAAGAUUAAAAGACUAAGUUACCCUAGGGAUAACAGCGUAAUCUUCUUGGAGAGUUCAAAUCGAUAAGAAGGUUUGCGACCUCGAUGUUGGAUUAAGAGAUUGACAAGGUGCAGAAGUUUUGUUGGAAAGUCUGUUCGACUUUUAAUUUCUUACAUG
rnacentral:rRNA from 1 species